GAUGAACGCUGGCGGCGUGCCUAAUACAUGCAAGUCGAGCGAACGGACGAGAAGCUUGCUUCUCUGAUGUUAGCGGCGGACGGGUGAGUAACACGUGGAUAACCUACCUAUAAGACUGGGAUAACUUCGGGAAACCGGAGCUAAUACCGGAUGAUAUUUUGAACCGCAUGGUUCAAAAGUGAAAGACGGUCUUGCUGUCACUUAUAGAUGGAUCCGCGCUGCAUUAGCUAGUUGGUAAGGUAACGGCUUACCAAGGCAACGAUGCAUAGCCGACCUGAGAGGGUGAUCGGCCACACUGGAACUGAGACACGGUCCAGACUCCUACGGGAGGCAGCAGUAGGGAAUCUUCCGCAAUGGGCGAAAGCCUGACGGAGCAACGCCGCGUGAGUGAUGAAGGUCUUCGGAUCGUAAAACUCUGUUAUUAGGGAAGAACAUAUGUGUAAGUAACUGUGCUCAUCUUGACGGUACCUAAUCAGAAAGCCACGGCUAACUACGUG
rnacentral:rRNA from 1 species